ACUACGGGGGGCAGCAGUGGGGAAUAUUGCGCAAUGGGCGAAAGCCUGACGCAGCGACGCCGCGUGAGGGAUGAAGGUCUUCGGAUCGUAAACCUCUGUCAGCAGGGAAGAACGGUCACUGUGCUAAUCAGCAGUGAAUUGACGGUACCUGCAAAGGAAGCACCGGCUAACUCCGUGCCAGCAGCCGCGGUAAUACGGAGGGUGCGAGCGUUAAUCGGAAUUACUGGGCGUAAAGCGCUCGUAGGCGGUAUGUCAAGUCAAGGGUGAAAUCCCCGGGCUCAACGUGGGAACAGCCUUUGAAACUGGCAAACUGGAGUGUGUGAGAGGAUAGUGGAAUUCCAGGCGUAGGAGUGAAAUCCGUAGAGAUCUGGAGGGACAUCAGUGGCGAAGGCGACUAUCUGGCACAUAACUGACGCUGAGGAGCGAAAGCGUGGGUAGCAAACAGGAUUAGAUACCCCGGUAGUC
rnacentral:rRNA from 1 species